CUACAGCUGACGAGUCCCAAAUAGGAUGAAACACGCGUCCUGGAU
rnacentral:hammerhead_ribozyme from 1 species